CCAGGUGGGGGGAUCACCUUCAUCAUAGUCCAAGUCAUAGUAGGCCCCAGGUGGUACUUUGGGGACCCAUUCGAUUGCUGCCCCUGAUGAUCUUUGUCUUCCUCAUCACUAAACCCUAUUGGUCCAUAUUCUUCUUCUCCGGGGUGCUCUUCCAUCUCUUCUGUCAGCUCUCCUUCUUGUUCCUUCAUCGGAUCCUUUUUCGGAUCUUUCUCUAGGUUCUCUUAGGGGUUUUCUUUCAUUUUCUCUUCGGAUCCGUUGUUUACUGCAUGGAUGAGAUGAUCCAUCAAUACCAGGAUCACCUGCUCGUACAUGGAAGUGGACACAGGCAUGAGGUGCAGUAACUGGUCCCAAAUUUGAUUUGCUCUAUAACUAUCUGCAAGCCCUUGGAGUGAUUCAUAGCUUGGUCGGGC
rnacentral:lncRNA from 1 species